AUUGAACGCUGGCGGCAGGCCUAACACAUGCAAGUCGAACGAUAACAGGAAACAGUUUGCUGUUUCGCUUACGCGUGGCGGGGGGGUGAGUAAUGUCUGGGACACUCCCUGAUGGAGGGGGAAAACUACUGGAAACGGUAGCUAAUCCCGCAAAACGUCGCAACACCAAAGUGGAGGACCUUCGGGCGUCUUGCCAUCGGCUGUGCCCAGAUGGGAUUAGCUAGUAGGUGGGGUAACGGCUUACCUAGGCGACGAUCCCUAGCUGGUCUGAGAGGGUGAGCAGCCACACUGGAACUGAGACACGGUCCAGACUCCUACGGGAGGCAGCAGUAGGGAAUAUUGCGCAAUGGGCGAAAGCCUGACGCAGCAACGCCGCGUGUGUGAUGAAGGUCUUCGGAUUGUAAAGUUCUGUUAGCAGGGAGGAAGAGAGGAGUAAGUAAAUCUGCACGUAUUGACGGUACCCAAAGAAAAAGCAACGGCUAACUACGUG
rnacentral:rRNA from 1 species